GUUAAUGUAGCUUAUUACAAAGCAAGGCACUGAAAAUGCCUAGAUGAGUAUUAAUACUCCAUAAACA
rnacentral:tRNA from 1 species